rnacentral:rRNA from 1 species
ACGCUCGACACCUACGGGAGCAGCAGUGGGGAAUAUUGCACAAUGGGGGAAACCCUGAUGCAGCGACGCCGCGUGAGUGAAGAAGUAUUUCGGUAUGUAAAGCUCUAUCAGCAGGGAAGAAGAUGACGGUACCUGAGUAAGAAGCCCCGGCUAACUACGUGCCAGUGCGCGGUAUACUNAGCGGCGUGCGAGNG